AUUGAACGCUGGCGGCAGGCCUAACACAUGCAAGUCGAGCGGAUGAAGGGAGCUUGCUCCUGGAUUCAGCGGCGGACGGGUGAGUAAUGCCUAGGAAUCUGCCUGGUAGUGGGGGAUAACGUCCGGAAACGGGCGCUAAUACCGCAUACGACCUGAGGGAGAAAGUGGGGGAUCUUCGGACCUCACGCUAUCAGAUGAGCCUAGGUCGGAUUAGCUAGUUGGUGGGGUAAAGGCCUACCAAGGCGACGAUCCGUAACUGGUCUGAGAGGAUGAUCAGUCACACUGGAACUGAGACACGGUCCAGACUCCUACGGGAGGCAGCAGUGGGGAAUAUUGGACAAUGGGCGAAAGCCUGAUCCAGCCAUGCCGCGUGUGUGAAGAAGGUCUUCGGAUUGUAAAGCACUUUAAGUUGGGAGGAAGGGCAGUAAGUUAAUACCUUGCCGUUUUGACGUUACCAACAGAAUAAGCACCGGCUAACUUCGUG
rnacentral:rRNA from 1 species